rnacentral:rRNA from 1 species
GACGAACGCUGGCGGCGUGCUUAACACAUGCAAGUCGAACGAUGAAGCCGGAGCUUGCUCUGGUGAAUUAGUGGCGAACGGGUGGGUAACACGUGAGUAACCUGCCCUUGACUCUGGGAUAACUGCGGGAAACUGUAGCUAAUACCGGAUACGACCCUCGGAGGCAUCUCCUGGGGGUGGAAAGAAUUUCGGUCAAGGAUGGACUCGCGGCCUAUCAGCUAGUUGGUGGGGUAAAGGCUCACCAAGGCGACGACGGGUAGCCGGCCUGAGAGGGUAACCGGCCACACUGGGACUGAGACACGGCCCAGACUCCUACGGGAGGCAGCAGUGGGGAAUAUUGCACAAUGGGCGCAAGCCUGAUGCAGCAACGCCGCGUGAGGGAUGACGGCCUUCGGGUUGUAAACCUCUUUUAGCAGGGAAGAAGCGAAAGUGACGGUACCUGCAGAAAAAGCACCGGCUAACUACGUGCCAGCAGCCGCCGUAA